GACGAACGCUGGCGGCGUGCUUAACACAUGCAAGUCGAACGGAAAGGCCCUGCUUUUGUGGGGUGCUCGAGUGGCGAACGGGUGAGUAACACGUGAGUAACCUGCCCUUGACUUUGGGAUAACUUCAGGAAACUGGGGCUAAUACCGGAUAGGAGCUCCUGCUGCAUGGUGGGGGUUGGAAAGUUUCGGCGGUUGGGGAUGGACUCGCGGCUUAUCAGCUUGUUGGUGGGGUAGUGGCUUACCAAGGCUUUGACGGGUAGCCGGCCUGAGAGGGUGACCGGCCACAUUGGGACUGGGAUACGGCCCAGACGCCUACGGGAGGCAGCAGUGGGGAAUAUUGCACAAUGGGCGGAAGCCUGAUGCAGCAACGCCGCGUGCGGGAUGACGGCCUUCGGGUUGAAACCGCUUUCGCCUGUGACGAAGCGUGAGUGACGGUAAUGGGUAAAGAAGCACCGGCUAACUACGUG
rnacentral:rRNA from 1 species